AUGCUUUCUUUGGGAAAAAUUCCAACAUGGGUUCAUAUCAGAAAAUUUUUGAGGAUGAACUCAAGGGGAUCUCAAGGCAAAAACUUUCUUGAAAAGCCCUGUGGACCUGCAUUUGGCUUCUUCAUUGGACCUCUCCAUUCAAAUUGUCACAGGUCCAAAAGGAGGCUGAGUUGCCCAUUUACACGUAGAAUUUGGAGAAGAUAUUUGGCUGACCAACCCUGUGGUGCCAUAGCAACUGACCUGAUAAGCUCAUUUUAACUAAGAUGUCAAUGAUUCAUAAUGAUCCUGAAUUAUCCCCUCCUGGAAGGUCUUUAAUUUCAAACAAGAAGACAGUACUUCAGCAUCUGAGCCUCAUCUCUUUAUCUGAAAAAUGACAGACUAGGACUAGAUCUCUGAGACUUCUUUCAGACAUGAGAUUCGGUGGUGCUCUAAAUGACCAUGAUUAGAUUUUUUAGGCUCCUUGAAGGGCUUAUAAGAUAGAAAUUUAGGGGUAUGGAGGGUCUUAAAGGACCCAUCAUGUCAGCAUCCAUAAAGAAUUGCCUUCUACACCUUAUUUAUACCUACUCAACUGUUGCUGGUGUCAUCUCUCUGGAUAUUUUUCAUCUUUACAACAAUGUUUCCUUUCCUCUGCUAUAAGUUCCACGAAGGCAUGAGUAUUUCUUUGCUAUUCUCAACCAUUCCUCCCUGCUACAUUUUUAGUACCUGGCAUAACUACAGACUGAUCACAUAACAGAUGCCUUUGGAUAAAUGAAGAUGAUGAACUUUCCACCUUCAUAGUUAAGGGUUUUUGAAGUGAAGUGAAUAAAUUUUAAAUUUGUUGGGCA
rnacentral:lncRNA from 1 species